rnacentral:rRNA from 1 species
CCUACGGGUGACAGCAGUGGGGAAUAUUGGGCAAUGGGCGCAAGCCUGACCCAGCAACGCCGCGUGAAGGAAGAAGGCUUUCGGGUUGUAAACUUCUUUUAUCAGGGACGAAGCAAGUGACGGUACCUGAUGAAUAAGCCACGGCUAACUACGUGCCAGCAGCCGCGGUAAUACGUAGGUGGCAAGCGUUAUCCGGAUUUACUGGGUGUAAAGGGAGCGUAGGUGGCAUGGUAAGCCAGAGGGGAAAACCCAGGGCUCAACUCUGUGGAUGGCUUUUGAAACUAGCAAGCUAGAGUGCUGGAGGAGUAGGCGGAAGUCCUAGUGUAGCGGUGAAAUGCGUAGAUAUUAGGAGGAACACCGGUGGCGAAGGCAGCUUACUGGACAGAAACUGACACUGAGGCUCGAAAGCGUGGGGAGCAAACAGGAUUAGAUACCCGGGUAGUC